GGUAUUGUCUUUCUCACUCAGACCGCUGCUGGAAUCCUUGGAAAUUCUUCACUCCUUUACUUUUUUAGCUUUACUUUUAUCACUUCACAGAUAUUGAGACCCAGAGACCUGAUUCUCAGCCAGCUGGUCUUAGCCAACAACCUGGUUCUUUUCUCUAAACGAAUCCCCCAGACAAUGGCAGCUUUUGGAAUGAAAUCCUUCCUGGACGAGGCUGGAUGAAACUUGUCUUCUAUCUAUACACAGAGUGGCCAGAGGGGUUUCCCUCAGCACCGCCUGUCUCCCCAGUGGCUUCCAGGCCAUGAAGCUUCAACCUCAGUAUCUCUAGGAGGAUGGAACUCCGAAUUAGGUCCACAAAGUGCAUUGUUUUCUGCUGCCCCCUCUGCUGGAUCUUGCAAAUUGUGGCAUAUACCCAUAUUGCAAUGCAUGUAACUGGCCCAAUGAAGAGCAAAAACGUGAGUAUGGAAUAAAUGUAUAGGUACUCUCCUCACCCAUUCUAGGAUGAUUGCUAUUCUUAGCAAAUGCAGUCAUUUUCUCCCUUGUGGAUGGUAUGUCUUUGGCCCUCAUGGACUACACCAGCAGCUCCAUGAUCCUCUUCUUAUAUAGACACAAGCAGACAGUCCAAUGCAUUCGCAGCCACGGCCUCUCCCCCUGAAAAUCUCAUGAAACUAGAGCCACACACACCAUCCUCGUCCUGGUGAGCAUGUUUGUCUCCUCUCAUGGUCUAGCUGGUAUUUUAUCACUGUGGGUAACCUGGAUUCAGAACCCAAGCCAUUGGCUGAGAAGCAUCUCUUUCCUGGUGUCUGCAGGAUUCCCGACAUUCAGCCCCUUUGGGUUCAUUGUCAGUGAUGCCCGCGUCUCACAGUUCUGCACUGUCUGCUGGACAAGGAAGACAAAUGCUCCAAGUGUGGUC
rnacentral:lncRNA from 1 species